rnacentral:lncRNA from 1 species
GGACGGAGACGCACAGACCAGCCCGCGGCCGUGGGCCCUUUAUUCCUGUACCGUUUCCAAGAGGUGCAGAAAAAUCUAAGUUUGUUCUUAGUUAAGAGGUGGUCUUCAGCGUCUUCCAGCCCUCCUGUCACAGCUGUGGCCUGUUUAAAAAGAAGGCAAAGAACUCUGCGUCUGAGGGCAGGGCAAGCUCAAACCUGCCACCGAUUAGAAAAAUCACAGUGUCGCAGGUGCGCUUUUAACCGAAUAGCAAGCUUAGAGGUCAAGUUGGGGAAGGGAAGGGGAAAAAAAAAAAAGAAAGAAAAGCAGGCAAGCCAGGCGCCCCGGCGGCGGAAGGUCGAGCCGGGGCGGCGCUCGGCGGGUUUGCAGCGCUCUCGGCGGCAGCCGGGCCCGCGGGCCUCCCGCAGGUACCUCCCUCCUCCCCACCUGUCGCUCGCGGCCCGGAGCUGGGGUGCCGCCCCCGCCGCCCCGCCGCCCCCAGCCGGGGGAGGGGGAGUCCUCCUCGGCCCCCGCCCCCGCCCCCGCCCCCCGCGGUCCCGGCUCGCUGCCCCUCGCGCUCCGAGGCCGCCCAGCCGCGCCGGCACUUCUGGAGGGCUGCCCGGCGGAGGUGGCGGCGAGCCCGGGAGCUCGGGCCGCGGCAUGGGGCAGGGUGAGCGCGGGAGGGCCGGCGGCGGGGAGGGAGGGCCGGAGGGAGGGCCGCGGAGGGAGGGCCGCCGCCUCCGCCUCGCCUCGCCUCGCCUCGCCUCGCCUCCGCCCGGGCCCCGCUCCGAGGCCUCCCCGCGGCGGGAAGGCGGGUCGGCGCCGGGAGCUCCGGGGCCUGCGGUCGGCGCGGACCGCCCGGAGCCCGCGAGCCCCGCUCCCCCCCCCCACCCCCCCGCUCCGGGGCGGCCCCUCGGGUCUCGGCCCCACGGGGCGGGGGCUGCAGCGCCGCCUUCCGCCGCCGGGACCUGGGGCGGGGGCGGCCGCCGCGACCUCGGAGCCUCGGGCCGCAGGUGGCGGGCGGCGGGGGCCGGGGCCGGGGCUCGGGGCUCGGGGCUCGGGUCGGGGCUCUCGGCUCUCGCCCGCCGCCGGCCCCGCUCAGGCCUCGGGCAGCCGCGCGUCCCGCCCUGA